AGAGUUUGAUCAUGGCUCAGAUUGAACGCUGGCGGAAUGCUUUACACAUGCAAGUCGAACGGCAGCACGGGUGCUUGCACCUGGUGGCGAGUGGCGAACGGGUGAGUAAUGCGUCGGAACGUACCGAGUAAUGGGGGAUAACGCAGCGAAAGUUGUGCUAAUACCGCAUACGCCCUGAGGGGGAAAGUGGGGGAUCGUAAGACCUCACGUUAUUCGAGCGGCCGACGUCUGAUUAGCUAGUUGGUGAGGUAAUGGCUCACCAAGGCGACGAUCAGUAGCGGGUCUGAGAGGAUGAUCCGCCACACUGGGACUGAGACACGGCCCAGACUCCUACGGGAGGCAGCAGUGGGGAAUUUUGGACAAUGGGGGCAACCCUGAUCCAGCCAUUCCGCGUGAGUGAAGAAGGCCUUCGGGUUGUAAAGCUCUUUCAGCCGGAACGAAACGGUACGCGCUAACAUCGUGUGCUAAUGACGGUACCGGCAGAAGAAGCACCGGCUAACUACGUGCCAGCAGCCGCGGUAAUACGUAGGGUGCGAGCGUUAAUCGGAAUUACUGGGCGUAAAGCGUGCGCAGGCGGAUUGUUAAGCAAGAUGUGAAAUCCCCGGGCUUAACCUGGGAAUGGCAUUUUGAACUGGCAGUCUAGAGUGUGUCAGAGGGGGGUGGAAUUCCACGUGUAGCAGUGAAAUGCGUAGAGAUGUGGAGGAACACCGAUGGCGAAGGCAGCCCCCUGGGAUAACACUGACGCUCAUGUACGAAAGCGUGGGUAGC
rnacentral:rRNA from 1 species